rnacentral:rRNA from 1 species
UGCUUAACACAUGCAAGUCGAACGGAAAGGCCCCUUCGGGGGUGCUCGAGUGGCGAACGGGUGAGUAACACGUGGGUGAUCUGCCCUGCACUUCGGGAUAAGCUUGGGAAACUGGGUCUAAUACCGGAUAGGACCACGGCCUGCAUGGGUUGUGGUGGAAAGCUUUUGCGGUGUGGGAUGGGCCCGCGGCCUAUCAGCUUGUUGGUGGGGUGAUGGCCUACCAAGGCGACGACGGGUAGCCGGCCUGAGAGGGUGUCCGGCCACACUGGGACUGAGAUACGGCCCAGACUCCUACGGGAGGCAGCAGUGGGGAAUAUUGCACAAUGGGCGCAAGCCUGAUGCAGCAACGCCGCGUGGGGGAUGACGGCCUUCGGGUUGUAAACCCCUUUCAGUGGGGAACGAAA